rnacentral:lncRNA from 1 species
GCCUACCUUUUUAAUCCAUCAACAGAAUUAGUAUUCAAAAUCUUCAAGCCUCCCAUCAAGAGCAAUUGUGUGGAAAUAAAGUACAGGAGGAGAUAUAGCUUAGCAAGUUGGAGCUCCACUCAAGAAGAAUUAGACAGACACAUCUUCACAUCUUGGCUUUGUUAGCAAAAGUUAAUUGGUCCUGUUCUUUUUUUAAAAAACUUCAAAUGACAAGCAAAAAACCAACACAUUUUGAAAGGAGCCUGUCAAUAACAACA